UCCCCGUUGCCGAGGCAGUCUAGCUAGAAAAAUCCAACUAACUAUAAGGGUUGCGCUCGUUAAUGGACUUAACCAAACAUCUCACGACACGAGCUGACGACGGCCAUGCAACACCUGUCACUGCGUUCCAAAAGGCACAGUCUUCUUUCAAAGACCUUCGCAGGAUGUCAAGCCCUGGUAAGGUUCUUCGCUUAUCAUCGAAUUAAACAACACGCUCCACCGCUUGUGCGGGUCCCCGUCAAUUCCUUUAUGUUUUAAGCUUGCGCUCGUACUCCACAGGCGGGAUGCUUAACGCGUUAGCUUCGCUACUACGAGAGUCGAUACUCAUAACAGCUAGCAUCCAUCGUUUACGGCGUGGACUAA
rnacentral:misc_RNA from 1 species